rnacentral:lncRNA from 1 species
ACCUAUAGCUAAGCUCUGAUACCAACUUAAUCUGUCACGCCCCGGAUUACACGUUUUCCGAGCACGCCGACAAAUCCGCCGUAUACAAAGAAAUUUUUCCUAUAUACGAAACGAUAGCUGUACCUGUAAAACAUACAAUACUACAAACAGUAGUAUAGAGCUGCCAGAAGAACCAGUAAUUAAAAACAAACUAGUUUCAUAUACAUACGUCAAAUCCAAGAUACAAAACUACUCGCACUGGUGAGUUAAACAUCUGUAUAUACAUAAACUCCAACCAUAAACAACUAGCUGCUGU